AGGUUCAAGAAGUUGUCAAGCAGCUGUGAAUGCUAACUUCUUUGGUUCGGGUUAAGCUCUCAGGGUUUGUGAACAGUAGAAAUACUUUUACGGAAAAGUUACCUAGGGAAGUAGGCGUCAUUCCCACCUACUGUAGCCCGUAUGACACUUCUUAAGCAGUCAUUUAAUGACGUUGUCAGCCCACUCCCCAAUCCCCACCCUCUGCGAGCAGCGACCUGCUGGAGGGCAGCAACUGGGGUUUAGCCGGGAGGUCCUAGUGCCUAGAACAGCGUCUCUGAUAAAAUACUGAAUAUAGGAGAAAAUGGGAAAUCUGCAGCGUUGCAAUAGCAGAGCAUUUGAGCACCUACUAUGUCUCAGGCACUGGGCCACACUCUACAAAGAUUCAGUUAAGCCUCACCCAGUGUAAGAGGAUAUAAAAUGAUGCCUUGGGGGCUACUAAAGUUCAGAGGCAACCCUUCCUUGAAAGAUGCUGUCCCAACACAAAACUCCCUGCAAGUUUCUCCUGUUAAGAUGACUAUGAACAGCUUGCCCUUACACUGCCUGUUAAACUCCUCAAUCAUCAUCUGUCGUAGGUGAUGUCGUCUCUCCAGUGCUUCGAUCAGCCUGGGAAGAGUCUGCUCAUCAUUGACAUCCAGAAGUUCGCAGGAUGGCAAAGGUGGGAAACUCUGUAAAACCACUUCUGAAACCAGCGGUUCUGUAUGGAGUUGUUUAAAAAAAAAAAGUUACACAGGAGAGAAAGAGUUAUUCAAACAAGUUUAACACUGGUGAGAGCCCCAGUCCAAUUAACAGUGUACUUUGUUGGGCUCAUCAUAUUUCCUUAAAAAUGAGUUAUAUGAGUUGUAAAGAAGAAAAAAUGAAAAAAUGUCAGUAUAUAAUAAAAGAAAUGUGAUUUAUA